UAGGGAAUCUUCGGCAAUGGACGAAAGUCUGACCGAGCAACGCCGCGUGAGUGAAGAAGGUUUUCGGAUCGUAAAACUCUGUUGUUAGAGAAGAACAAGGACGUUAGUAACUGAACGUCACCUGACGGUAUCUAACCAGAAAGCCACGGCUAACUACGUGCCAGCAGCCGCGGUAAUACGUAGGUGGCAAGCGUUGUCCGGAUUUAUUGGGCGUAAAGCGAGCGCAGGCGGUUUCUUAAGUCUGAUGUGAAAGCCCCCGGCUCAACCGGGGAGGGUCAUUGGAAACUGGGGGACUUGAGUGCAGAAGAGGAGAGUGGAAUUCCAUGUGUAGCGGUGAAAUGCGUAGAUAUAUGGAGGAACACCAGUGGCGAAGGCGGCUCUCUGGUCUGUAACUGACGCUGAGGCUCGAAAGCGUGGGGAGCAAACAGG
rnacentral:rRNA from 1 species